CCUCAAUAAAGAUGAAAAACUACGUUCUUUGGAUCAAUGAGAGGAAAACUGAGAGAAGAAAGUGGAUUUGCCAAACUAAACUUCAACAAAGAUCCCCAGGGCAGUCUGGGGAUUUGAAGGCAUUCAGCAAAUGCUGUUCAACGAAGAAAUGAAUAAGAAGCUGUCAGAAUAUUUAAGACAUAUGGUGCAUAGGCCUCCCACCAAAGACGUGACAGCAGGAAUGGAGAGAAAGAAGGACAUCAGAGGUAUUUAAAAGAAACAAUCAUCAGGACAUGGUGACUGGAUGAAGAAAUGACAAGACCCAGAAACAAUUACAGUGUCCAGCCAGAAAGGUCCGGUGGCACACUGGUACAAUUGAAGACACUAGGAAAUGUAGAUGCGUAGGUAGAUUCCCC
rnacentral:lncRNA from 1 species